CUGGGACUCAGCUCUGCUCCCACAGUGCCCUGGUUUGCAGCCACCGAGGCCUGAGUGCCUCCUCACAGGAACAUCACAGUCCUGCUCCUUCCUGCAGAGACAAGCUGGGCAAGUUACAAGACUGGAAGAGGCUGACCCGAACUUUGAAGGAGGAAAACAGCUAUUUGAAUCUUGCUUUUCCAAACAUUCUAAGAGCACAUUAUCCAGCAGGCCUAGAAAAACACUUAAAAGCAACAGCAGCAAGCAGCCUCCAUGUUUCAACACAACCGGGAAGCAAACACUUGAAAGACUGAACAAAGUGGGUACUUGCUUGAUGGGGUCUGCAUUACCAACAGAUCCAGCCACUGCUUCAUGCUAUGAGAUGUGCAGUCAGAAGAAUUCACUGGUGUAGCCCUGACUAAGGAGCAUCCUAAUGCCACUAACUACCUACCUACCUAACUACCAUCCUAACUACCACCUCUGAGAGCCUGAAAAAGAAAAAAGGUUCAUGAACA
rnacentral:lncRNA from 1 species